UAGAACUAUAUCAUUAUACAAUUCAUGUUCCGUCCCGAAAACAGAUGUAGAUAAUAAUGCAAAGACACAAAUAAAUGUAACAAAGGUCAAUCAAAGCUUCAGGGUGAACUAUUAGUAUAGCUGGGUGAAUGACAUGGCUCUCUCUGAGCCAGUUUCUGUAACUUCGACUUAAAUUUUCAAAGAUAAGAUCAAACAAAUGCAGACACUCCGGAAAGCAUCCCCGCUCAUUCAAAGGACGUGAAUACAGCUCAGUACAAAUACGCACAUCAUCUAGAUCAACGUUAUGGUGCUGACUGACCGAAGUAUACAGUUCCGGCAUACUGAACAUCACUUCAGGUUUUCCAUUUGGGUUUCCAUUUGAAAUGUCGUGUAAAUUCCACUCAAAGGCAAAUUUACAAAACUCAAUUACAAUAACUGGCAUGAAACAGUAAAGCAAACAUUGUCUAUGAAAAAUAUUUCCAUCACUGUAUAAGCCUGUAGCACUCUCGUCGCUUUAAAGAGAUUUAUCCAAAAUGCACUGACGUCGAAACAUACUCCAUAUCGAUUCGAUCCGUUGACUGGAUGUGCUUUUGCCAACAACAAAGUUUUUGUCCGCUGCAUGGCCAUCGCCAUGUCCUGGUCUGAAAAGUAUUUACAGUUGACGGACAGUGACAUUUUCGGUUCCAUGUUCACUACUAAUUAUUGUUGGCACAAUCCCGCCUAAGCUAGUUAUGGUUUCCAAGAAAUAUUUAGCAAUUACAAAGACGUGGGUCAUUAUUAUUGGUUGCAACCUUAAGCCACAGUAUUUUCCGACUGAAUUCGUCUACAGCCCCAUGUAUGGCAAAACCAAAGGGCUUCAACUUGUCGUAUCCAUCCAUGUAACAUACAAAGUUUGGACCUGGACAUAAAUAUUUCCGCCGAAGAAGUCGCCUUCGUUUCCUUCUUUCCACUCCAUUUGGAUCUGCUAUCCGCAUUAAACGAAUAACCGUAGACCGAUGUACAUUAAAGGUGGUCAAUCACAUUUAAACAACAUUUAAUGCCAUUUUUUACUUUUUGUAUAUUCUGGUAGAGAUUUAUUUAAGGAACAAAAAGACCCAUUACAUAGAGUUAGAUUCCUAUUAGAAAUGUAUGUUUUAUUAUUUUUUAUAAAAUUUGCAAUUACUCCCCUUUAAUAUAAAAGUAUUUAAAAACCUGAGUAAUUCAUUUUAUUUCGAUACAAUUUCUAGUUUUACGUUUGCAUUUGAUAGACAUACCAACUAUUUAACAAUCUGAACCAAACGGCAAGCUUUAAAUCUGUGUGUAGCUUCUGAAUUCAUUUAUUUCCAAUCUAUAUUGGUUGCGCAACCAAGAUAGGCAAAGGGAGAUAAUAAUAAUUUUUUAAACUUGCGGUUCUAUCGAAUUCCAUCUAAAUACAUAAUUGUUAAUGAAAAUAUUUUACAAAUAUAUUACAAUAUAUCUA